AUUGGGAUCCCCAUCCCUCCACCCCAACAUCCCCAACCAUUGGGAUCCCCAUCCCUCCAUCCCAACAUCCCCAACUAUUGGGAUCCCCAUCCCUCCAUCCCAACAUCCCCAACCACUGGGAUCCCUUCUCCAUCCCAACAUCCCCAACCAUUGGGAUCCCCAUUCCUCCAUCCCAACAUCCCAAAACAUUGGGGUCCCCAUCCCUCCAUCCCAACACCCCCAACCAUUGGGGUCUCCAUGUCCCCACCCCAAUGUCUGCAACCAUUGGGAUCCCAUCUCCAUACCAAUCUCCCCCAACCAUUGGAGACACCAUGUCCCAAUCUCCACACCAACAUCCCCAACCAUUGGGAUCCCUUCUCCAUCCCAACAUCCCCAACCAUUGGGAUCCCUUCUCCAUCCCAGCAUCCCAAACCAUUGGGGUCCCCAUGUCCCCACCCCAGCAUCUCCAACCACUGGGAUCCCUUCUCCAUCCCAACAUCCCCAACCACUGGGGUUUCCACAUCCUCAUCUCCACCCUGACGUCCCCUGGGAUUGGAAUCCCCAUGUCCCCAUGUCCACCCCAACAUCCCCAAACACUGGGGUCUCCAUGUCCCCACCUCAAUGUCCCCAGCCAUUGGGAUCCCAUCUCCAUCCCAGUGUCCCCAACCACUGGGGUCCCCACAUCCCCAUCUCCACACCAACAUCCCCAACCACUGGGGUCCCCAUGUCCCCAUCCCAAUGUCCCCAACCAUGGGGGUCUCCAUCUUUCUACCCCAACAUCCCCAACCACGGGGGUCUCCAUGUCCACACCAACAUCCCCAACUAUUGGGGUUCCCAUGUCCCCUCCCCAAUGUCCGCAACCACUGGGAUCCCAUCUCCAUCCCAGUGUCCCCAACCACCCCGAAUGCCACGUCCCCAUCUCUGCACCAACAUCCCCAGCCAUUGGGGUCCCCAUGUCUCCACCCCAACGUCCCCAACCAAUGUCCCCACUUCUCAGGGUCCCCAUCCCUUCAGGCCCCAAUUUCUUGGGUUCCCCAUCUCUUACAGUCCCCAUUCCAAUGGUCCAGUUCUUGGGGUCUCUAUCCCAAUGUCCCUAUUUCCUGAUGUCCCCACCCCAAUGGCCCAAUUCUUGGGGUCCCCAUCCCGAUGUCCCCACCCCAAUGUCCCCGUUUCUUGAGGUCCCCAUCCCAAUGUCCCGACCUCAAUGUCCCCAUCCCAUUGUCCCCAUUUCUUGGGGUCCCCAUCCCUUCAGGCUCCAAUUUCUCAGGCUCCCACCUCUUACAGUCCCCACCCCAAUGGCUCCAUUUCUUGGGGUCCCCAUCCCAAUGUCCCCACCCCAAUGGCUCCAUUUCUUGGGGUCCCCAUCCCAAUGUCCCCAUCCCAUUGUCCCCAUUUCUUGGGGUCCCCACCCCAAUGGCCCCAUUUCUUGGGGUCCCCAUCCCAAUGUCCCCACCCCAAUGGCCCCAUUUCUUGGGGUCCCCAUCCCUUCAGCUCCCAAUUCCCCAUGUCCCCGCUCACCCGCUGUCCCCAGCGCCAGCGCCAGGCAGGCGGCCAGUAGGGCCCGGCAGGACGGUGCGGCCAUAGGGACGGGGAUGGGGACGGGGACGGGCCCUGGGUGGCAGCCUGCGGCCAAGGACUGAGAGUGGAAACCUGUCCCCAUGGCAACAUGAUGCCCCACGUACCCAUCCCCAUCCCAUCCCAUCCCUGUCCCAUCCCCGUCCCAUCCCUGUCCCAUUACUACCCCCUUCUUGUCCCCUUCCUGUCUCCAUCCCUGUUCCAUCCCCAUCCCAUCCCUGUCCCAUCCCUGCC
ensembl:lncRNA